rnacentral:rRNA from 1 species
GAUGAACGCUGGCGGCGUGCCUAAUACAUGCAAGUCGAGCGAAGCGGGGACGGGUGAGGAACACGGAGAUAACCUCCUAUAAGACUGGAAUAACUUCGGGAAACCGGAGCAAAACGGGAUACUUGUAGGUGGAUCCGCGCUGCAUUAGCUAGUUGGUAAGGUAACGGCGUACAAAGGCAACGAUGAAUAGCCGCCCCGAGAGGGUGAGCGGCCAACCUGGAACUGGGACACGGUCCAGACUGCGACGGUAGGCAGCAGUAGGGAAUCUUCCGCGAUGGGCGAAAGCCUGACGGAGCAACGCCGCGUGAGUGAGGAAGGUCUUCGGAUCGUAAAACUCUGUUGUUAGAGAAGCGGUAUCUAACCAGAAAGCCACGGCUAACUACGUGCCAGCCGCCGCGGUAAUUC